GACGUAGGGGGCAAGCGUUGUCCGGAUUUACUGGGCGUAAAGAGCGCGUAGGCGGUCUGUUAAGUGUAGAGUGAAAGCUCCGGGCUCAACCCGGAAACCGCUCUGCAUACUGGCAGACUUGAGGGACGCAGAGGUCUGUGGAAUUCCUGGUGUAACGGUGAAAUGUGUUGAUAUCAGGAGGAACACCCAUGGCGAAGGCAGCAGACUGGGCGUUUCCUGACGCUGAGGCGCGAAAGCGUGGGUAGCAAACAGG
rnacentral:rRNA from 1 species